rnacentral:rRNA from 1 species
ACGCUCGACACCUACGGGGGGCAGCAGUGGGGAAUAUUGCACAAUGGGGGAAACCCUGAUGCAGCGACGCCGCGUGAGCGAAGAAGUAUUUCGGUAUGUAAAGCUCUAUCAGCAGGGAANAAAAUGACGGUACCUGACUAAGAAGCCCCGGCUAACUACGUGCCGGCAGCCGACGGUAAUCUGAGCGGGCUGGCAAGGC